rnacentral:rRNA from 1 species
UACGAAGGGGGCUAGCGUUGCUCGGAAUUACUGGGCGUAAAGGGCGCGUAGGCGGUUUGGUCAGUCAGGCGUGAAAUUCCCGGGCUCAACCUGGGGGCUGCGCUUGAUACGGCCAGACUAGAGGACGGAAGAGGCUCGCGGAAUUCCCAGUGUAGAGGUGAAAUUCGUAGAUAUCGGGAGGAAUACCAGUGGCGAAGGCGGCGACCUGGGCCAAUACUGACGCUGAGGUGCGAAAGCGUGGGGAGCAAACAGGG